GACGAACGCUGGCGGCGUGCCUAAUACAUGCAAGUAGAACGCACAGUUUAUACCGUAGCUUGCUACACCAUAGACUGUGAGUUGCGAACGGGUGAGUAACGCGUAGGUAACCUGCCUGGUAGCGGGGGAUAACUAUUGGAAACGAUAGCUAAUACCGCAUAAUAUUAAUUAUUGCAUGAUAAUUAAUUGAAAGGUGCAAUUGCACCACUACCAGAUGGACCUGCGUUGUAUUAGCUAGUAGGUGAGGUAACGGCUCACCUAGGCGACGAUACAUAGCCGACCUGAGAGGGUGAUCGGCCACACUGGGACUGAGACACGGCCCAGACUCCUACGGGAGGCAGCAGGAGGGAAUCGUCGGCAAUGGACGAAAGUCUGACCGAGCAACGCCGCGUGAGGGAAGAAGGUUUUCGGAUCGUAAAGCUCGGUUGUAAGAGAAGAACGGGUGUGAGAGUGGAAAGUUCACACUGUGACGGUAUCUUACCAGAAAGGGACGGCUAACUACGUG
rnacentral:rRNA from 1 species